rnacentral:rRNA from 1 species
GACGUAGGGCGCGAGCGUUGUCCGGAUUUAUUGGGCGUAAAGAGCUCGUAGGCGGCUUGUUGCGUCGACCGUGAAAACCCGGGGCUCACCUUCGGGCUUGCGGUCGAUACGGGCGGGCUAGAGUUCGGUAGGGGAGACUGGAAUGCCUGGUGUAGCGGUGAAAUGCGCAGAUAUCAGGAGGAACACCGGUGGCGAAGGCGGGUCUCUGGACCGAUACUGACGCUGAGGAGCGAAAGCGUGGGGAGCGAACAGG